GGGAAGAAUGGUUGCAAAACCGAAGCGUCAAGGAAUUGAAGAAAGAGCACCACUGGAAAUGGAGACUGUGGCUUAAUUUCAUUCAACACGAGAGAACUUACCAGAUCCGAACAUAAGCGUGUAACGUAGAUUGAUAACUCUUUCUCGAAUUUAUGGAUGGUUGGUGCAUGGCCGUUCUUAGUUCGUGGAGUACUUUUUCUCUGAUUAAUUUCGAUAACGAAAGAGAUUCAAAUAUAUUAAAUAGUUGAUUACAAGAUUAUGGUGUUGAAGCUUUUACGGCUACCAUUUAAAAGCACAGUAAAAUCUGGGAGUGUUUGAAUGUGUUUAUAAAAGUGAUGCCUUACCUCUUGCCUUGCCUUUCUGUUGGACACUAGCUUCUUAAACGGAUAAAUUGCAUUUAGUAUUAAUGGGUUUGAGCAAUAUUAGGUUUAUGAUGCACUUAGAUGUCCUGGGCAGCAGGCGCUUUACAAUGAAAGUAUCAACUUGUAUUUCCUAAACAGAGAGGCCCGGGUAAACCGUUGAGUCAGUUUCCUCAUGCAUGAGAUUGUGAACUAAAAUAAUUCAUAUGAACUUGGAAUACUCAGUAAGUGCGAGUCACUAAUUAGCAGCUCAUGCUUCGAAAUGAUCCUCUCUUUGUUUUA
rnacentral:ncRNA from 1 species